UGCAUGCUUGGAUGAAAGUCACCUGGAGGAUAUAACUCGGAGAUCACUGCUUUCAGUGACCGGUAUGCAGAGUUUGAAAAGUUGAACACAGAAGUCUUGGGUGUAUCUGUAGAUAGUGUGGUAAUUCUUAUCGACUCCCUUUCUUGUUUUUUCACUUAUAAAAUUAUAAAAUCAUCUUUGUGAUAUAAUAUACUCUUGUCAAACUUGUGCAGUAUUCCCACCUUGCAUGGAUCCAAACGGAAUGGAUAUCUUGUGAACUGGGUGAUUUGAACUAUCCGUUAGUUUCUGAUGUGACUAAAUCAAUAUCUGAAUCGUACAAUGUGCUGAUUCACGAUCAGGUAUGUGUUGUAAUAUCUUUGUUUAACGAUGAUAUAAAUUAUGACACAUUGUAAUUUGUUAGGCA